AACGUACGCUAUAUAUUUUUACUUUUAUUUAUUUUUUUAAAUUAAAAUCAGAAUUUAAACACAUCGAAUUCCCACGUUAGAAGGAACAAAGCGAGAGCCUAGUACGAGCUGGCCGAGAGCGAUAAUAAAUUAAAGAGACACUCGGCGCGAUCGGAGAAAGACGCACAAUAACACACGCAUUCACACACUCACUCACACACAUAUACCUACACGCACAAUUGUAGCCGCGUCAACAGGCGACCCUAGAUUUUUAUGGCUUGCGCGAGCGCAGUUCUCUCCUCCUUUCUCUUCUCGGAGCUUGUUUUCGUAUUUUUUCGGGGAUCCUUCGAAAUGUAAGAACCCACACGUUGACGACGUGUCGCCGAUAAUAAUGAUAACGAUGAUGAUUUCCGUUUUCUUUUCUCACGCGCACCAAACAUCGCGUUGACGUCGCGGUUACAUUUGCGGGGAUAAAGACGACGUGUUGCCGAGAUAAGAUAAAAAAUGCGGCCGAGAGAGCGAGCGGCGCGUCAUCGUUCGACUUGACAGCGCGAGUCGUGUCUCUCCACUGACGCGGCUCCGCUCGGCGGAGAGUCCGCCAGUCCGCUCUCGUCGCCCACACAUAUCUAUUCGGCUCCCGCAGUGGAGGAUGGAGGGGAGAGAUGACAUGGAGGCCAACGCCACCGCCGGCAUCAAUUGCGGCCGCCACUGCAACUGCACGUGGAAUGUGAGUUUGGGAAAACUAAUUGGAAACUCGGUGCAACGUGUAAAGAAAAUUUGUGUGAAAGUUCAUUAAUUAGAAAGUGCAAUUAACUUAUAGAUUGAAUUGAUUUAAUAGCGUUCCUUUUUAUUCGAAUUAAUAAGACGUAGAAUCACGUAAAUCGCAAUAUAGGACGAGUGCUCGCUCUCGGAAUCACUGUCGGAGGGAAUAUUGAGAACUUCCGUUGCUUCGAGUGCCGCGGUGGCUGCUGACAGCCUCCCAAGCAUCGCCGUGUAAGCACCCAACACCCAACCGUUCAGGACAGGCGUCACCGUUCCUUCCUGAGUAAAAGAUUAACGAUAAAAAAAGGGAAAAAUAGUUUUGCACAGUCUCCGACCUUGUCGAGGGCCAAACAUGACAUCGGAUCGGGUAGCUUCGCGAUUGACAGAUUGUUGUUGGCCGAUCUGUGUGAGCUGUCGGUGCUACCGGUAUCGCUCUCAUCUCCAGCAUCUUCGUUGUCGUUGCUUUCGGUUGGCACGCAGGUCUACGAUCGGUAUAUGCGAAAAAUAUAAUAGUACUCUAGUAUAUAUUGCAUUUACAUAUUUAUUCAACUUAAAAUUAGACACGUGAGUACGUGAAAAUGAGCAAAAUUUAAGUUUAUUCCCCUAAUAGCACAACAUAUCCAAAAGAUAUUCAGAGGAUAUUCAGAGGAUA